rnacentral:rRNA from 1 species
GGGACACGUGGUAUCCUGUCUGAAUAUGGGGGGACCAUCCUCCAAGGCUAAAUACUCCUGACUGACCGAUAGUGAACCAGUACCGUGAGGGAAAGGCGAAAAGAACCCCGGCGAGGGGAGUGAAAAAGAACCUGAAACCGUGUACGUACAAGCAGUGGGAGCACGCUUAGGCGUGUGACUGCGUACCUUUUGUAUAAUGGGUCAGCGACUUAUAUUCUGUAGCAAGGUUAACCGAAUAGGGGAGCCGAAGGGAAACCGAGUCUUAACUGGGCGUUAAGUUGCAGGGUAUAGACCCGAAACCCGGUGAUCUAGCCAUGGGCAGGUUGAAGGUUGGGUAACACUAACUGGAGGACCGAACCGACUAAUGUUGAAAAAUUAGCGGAUGACUUGUGGCUGGGGGUGAAAGGCCAAUCAAACCGGGAGAUAGCUGGUUCUCCCCGAAAGCUAUUUAGGUAGCGCCUCGUGAAUUCAUCUCCGGGGGUAGAGCACUGUUUCGGCAAGGGGGUCAUCCCGACUUACCAACCCGAUGCAAACUGCGAAUACCGGAGAAUGUUAUCACGGGAGACACACGGCGGGUGCUAACGUCCGUCGUGAAGAGGGAAACAACCCAGACCGCCAGCUAAGGUCCCAAAGUCAUGGUUAAGUGGGAAACGAUGUGGGAAGGCCCAGACAGCCAGGAUGUUGGCUUAGAAGCAGCCAUCAUUUAAAGAAAGCGUAAUAGCUCACUGGUCGAGUCGGCCUGCGCGGAAGAUGUAACGGGGCUAAACCAUGCACCGAAGCUGCGGCAGCGACGCUUAUGCGUUGUUGGGUAGGGGAGCGUUCUGUAAGCCUGU